rnacentral:rRNA from 1 species
UACGUAGGGUGCGAGCGUUGUUCGGAAUCACUGGGCGUAAAGCGCACGUAGGCGGAUGUGUCAGUCAGGGGUGAAAUCCCGGAGCUCAACUUCGGAACUGCCUUUGAUACAGCACGUCUUUGAGUCCGAUAGAGGUUGGUGGAAUUCUCGGUGUAGAGGUGAAAUUCGUAGAUAUCGAGAGGAACACCGGCGGCGAAGGCGGCCAACUGGACGAACACUGACGCUGAGACACGAAAGCGUGGGGAGCAAACAGG